rnacentral:rRNA from 1 species
GAUGAACGCUGGCGGCGUGCUUAACACAUGCAAGUCGAGCGAAGCACCUUGACUUCUUCGGAAUGACUGGUGACUGAGCGGCGGACGGGUGAGUAACGCGUGGGUAACCUGCCUCACACAGGGGGAUAACAGUUAGAACUGACUGCUAAUACCGCAUACGACCACAGCACCGCAUGGUGCAGGGGUAAAAACUCCGGUGGUGUGAGAUGGACCCGCGUCUGAUUAGCUAGUUGGUGAGGUAACGGCUCACCAAGGCGACGAUCAGUAGCCGACCUGAGAGGGUGACCGGCCACAUUGGGACUGAGACACGGCCCAAACUCCUACGGGAGGCAGCAGUGGGGAAUAUUGCACAAUGGGCGAAAGCCUGAUGCAGCGACGCCGCGUGAAGGAUGAAGUAUUUCGGUAUGUAAACUUCUAUCAGCAGGGAAGAAAAUGACGGUACCUGACUAAGAAGCCCCGGCUAACUACGUGCCAGCCGCCGCCGUAAGAC